rnacentral:rRNA from 1 species
ACGAACGCUGGCGGCGUGCUUCACACAUGCCAGUCGAACGGAAAGGCCUGCUUUCCCUUGUGGAUUGCGGGUGCUCGAGUGGCGAACGGGUGAGUAACACGUGAGUGAUCUGCCCCCAACUUGGGUAUAAGCCUGGGAAACUGGGUCUAAUUCCCGAUAGGACUGCAGGGUGGUGCCUGUGGUGGAAAACGAUUUUCUAGUGGUUGGGGAUGAGCUCGCGGCCUAUCAGCUUGUUGGUGGGGUAAUGGCCUACCAAGGCGGCGACGGGUAGCCGGCCUGAGAGGGUGGACGGCCACAUUGGGACUGAGAUACGGCCCAGACUCCUACGGGAGGCAGCAGUGGGGAAUAUUGCACAAUGGGCGGAAGCCUGAUGCAGCGACGCCGCGUGGGGGAUGACGGCCUUCGGGUUGUAAACUCCUUUCGACCGCGAGGAAGCCACCUGGUUGGAAGGGUGGUGACGGUAGUGGUAGAAGAAGCACCGGCUAACUACGUG